ACCUACGGGGCGCAGCAGUAGGGAAUUUUCGUCAAUGGGCGCAAGCCUGAACGAGCAAUGCCGCGUGAACGAGGAAGGUCUUCGGAUCGUAAAGUUCUGUUGAAGGGGAAAAAGAGCGGAGAGAGGAAAUGAACUCCGAUUGAUAUUACCCUUCGAGGAAGUCACGGCUAACUACGUGCCAGCAGCCGCGGUAAUAUGUAGGUGGCGAGCGUUAUCCGGAAUGAUUGGGCGUAAAGGGUGCGUAGGCGGACCAUCAAGUCAGCGGUAAAAUCGUGGGGCCCAACCCCAUCCCGCCGUUGAAACUG
rnacentral:rRNA from 1 species